GAACGCUGGCGGCGUGCCUAACACAUGCAAGUCGAACGAAGCGCCUUUUUGAGAUUCUUCGGAUGAUUAAUUGGUGACUGAGUGGCGGACGGGUGAGUAACGCGUGGGUAACCUGCCCUGUACAGGGGGAUAACAGCUGGAAACGGCUGCUAAUACCGCAUAAGCGCACGAGGAGACAUCUCCUUGUGUGAAAAACUCCGGUGGUACAGGAUGGGCCCGCGUCUGAUUAGCUGGUUGGCAGGGUAACGGCCUACCAAGGCAACGAUCAGUAGCCGGUCUGAGAGGAUGAACGGCCACAUUGGAACUGAGACACGGUCCAAACUCCUACGGGAGGCAGCAGUGGGGAAUAUUGCACAAUGGGGGAAACCCUGAUGCAGCAACGCCGCGUGAGUGAAGAAGUAUUCGGUAUGUAAAGCUCUAUCAGCAGGGAAGAUAAUGACGUACCUGACUAAGAAGCUCCGGCUAAAUACGUGCCAGCAGCCGCGGUAAUACGUAGUGGAGCAAGCGUUAU
rnacentral:rRNA from 1 species